UACGUAGGGACCAAGCGUUGUUCGGAUUUACUGGGCGUAAAGGGCGCGUAGGCGGCCUGACAAGUCACUUGUGAAAUCUCCGGGCUUAACUCGGAACGGUCAAGUGAUACUGUCACGCUAGAGUGCAGAAAGGGCAAUCGGAAUUCUUGGUGUAGCGGUGAAAUGCGUAGAUAUCAAGAGGAACACCUGAUGCGAAGGCGGGUUGCUAGGCUGACACUGACGCUGAGUGCGCGAAAGCCAGGGGAGCAAACGGG
rnacentral:rRNA from 1 species